GCCAACGUAGCUCAGCUGGUAGAGCAGCGCAUUCGUAAUGCGCGGGUCGGCGGUUCGAUCCCGCCCGUUGGCU
rnacentral:tRNA from 1 species